rnacentral:rRNA from 1 species
CUUUAUUGGAGAGUUUGAUCCUGGCUCAGGACGAACGCUGGCGGCGUGCCUAAUACAUGCAAGUCGAGCGGACUUGAUGGAGUGCUUGCACUCCUGAAGGUUAGCGGCGGACGGGUGAGUAACACGUAGGCAACCUGCCCUCAAGACUGGGAUAACUACCGGAAACGGUAGCUAAUACCGGAUAAUUUAUUUUGCAGCAUUGUGAGAUAAU